GACGAACGCUGGCGGCGUGCCUAACACAUGCAAGUCGAACGGACUACUUUGCUUCGGUAAGGUGGUUAGUGGCGAACGGGUGAGUAACGCGUAGACAACCUACCUCUUAGAUGGGGACAACAUCGCGAAAGCGGUGCUAAUACCGAAUGAAGUGACUUUCCUGCAUGGGAGAGAUACUAAAGGUGGCCUCUAUUUAUAAGCUACCACUGAGAGAUGGGUCUGCGUCUGAUUAGCUAGUUGGCGGGGUAACGGCCCACCAAGGCGACGAUCAGUAGCCGGUCUGAGAGGAUGAACGGCCACAUUGGGACUGAGACACGGCUCAAACUCCCACGGGAGGCAGCAGUGGGGAAUCUUCCGCAAUGGACGAAAGUCUGACGGAGCAACGCCGCGUGAGUGAAGAAGGUUUUCGGAUCGUAAAGCUCUGUUGUUUGAGACGAAUGUGCCUGUUUCGAGUAGGGAUAGGUAAUGACGGUAUUAAACGAGAAAGCCACGGCUAACUACGUGCCAGCCGCCGCAGUAA
rnacentral:rRNA from 1 species